GUUUGGCAUUAGAAAUUCCAUCUGAACUUUAUUUCAUGUGAACAUGUAUUUUGUGGUGAAGAUGAACUCUAGAAUCAGGUACUACAAUUUGAACGCUGGCUCCACAACUGAUGAGGUACAUGCCCUGGGACAAACCACACCACCUCUCAGAGCCUGUCACAAGGCAGUCAGGACAUUUUAGGAGCAAACGCCUAUGUAGCUCGUAAAAAGGGCUUGGCUUGUGGGAAGUGAGUUUAACAAUUCUGAAGAAGUAUCAUUUGCAAGUGUCUGG
rnacentral:lncRNA from 1 species